UGGGCUGGUCGAAAGGCCCAGAUCCAAUCAAAAGAACAGGCGGGGAAAUUCCCC
rnacentral:sRNA from 12 species